UACAGAGGGGGCAAGCGUUGUUCGGAAUUACUGGGCGUAAAGGGCGCGUAGGCGGCCCGCUAAGUCGAACGUGAAAUCCCUGGGCUCAACCCAGGAACUGCGUCCGAUACUGGCAGGCUUGAAUUCGGGAGAGGGAUGUGGAAUUCCAGGUGUAGCGGUGAAAUGCGUAGAUAUCUGGAGGAACACCGGUGGCGAAGGCGGCAUCCUGGACCGAUAUUGACGCUGAGGCGCGAAAGCCAGGGGAGCAAACGGG
rnacentral:rRNA from 1 species